rfam:Phlebia centrifuga strain FBCC195 PHLCENscaffold_1551, whole genome shotgun sequence.
GGCCGCCUGGCGAAAUGGCAUCGCGUCUGACUACGACUCGGUAAUCAGGAGAUCGCAGGUUCGACCCCUGCGGUGGUCA